rnacentral:rRNA from 1 species
CGAUAAGCGCCGGUAAGGUGAUAUGAACCGUUAUAACCGGCGAUACCCGAAUGGGGAAACCCAGUGUGAUUCGUCACACUAUCAUUAACUGAAUCCAUAGGUUAAUGAGGCGAACCGGGGGAACUGAAACAUCUAAGUACCCCGAGGAAAAGAAAUCAACCGAGAUUCCCCCAGUAGCGGCGAGCGAACGGGGAGGAGCCCAGAGCCUGAAUCAGCAUGUGUGUUAGUGGAAGCGUCUGGAAAGGCGCGCGAUACAGGGUGACAGCCCCGUACACAAAAGCGCAUGUGCUGUGAGCUCGAUGAGUAGGGCGGGACACGUGGUAUCCUGUCUGAAUAUGGGGGGACCAUCCUCCAAGGCUAAAUACUCCUGACUGACCGAUAGUGAACCAGUACCGUGAGGGAAAGGCGAAAAGAACCCCGGCGAGGGGAGUGAAAAAGAACCUGAAACCGUGUACGUACAAGCAGUGGGAGCACAGGUUUACCUGUGUGACUGCGUACCUUUUGUAUAAUGGGUCAGCGACUUAUAUUCUGUAGCAAGGUUAACCGAAUAGGGGAGCCGGAGGGAAACCGAGUCUUAAUUGGGCGUUAAGUUGCAGGGUAUAGACCCGAAACCCGGUGAUCUAGCCAUGGGCAGGUUGAAGGUUGGGUAACACUAACUGGAGGACCGAACCGACUAAUGUUGAAAAAUUAGCGGAUGACCUGUGGCUGGGGGUGAAAGGCCAAUCAAACCGGGAGAUAGCUGGUUCUCCCCGAAAGCUAUUUAGGUAGCGCCUCGUGAAUUCAUCUCCGGGGGUAGAGCACUGUUUCGGCUAGGGGGCCAUCCCGGCUUACCAACCCGAUGCAAACUGCGAAUACCGGAGAAUGUUAUCACGGGAGACACACGGCGGGUGCUAACGUCCGUCGUGAAGAGGGAAACAACCCAGACCGCCAGCUAAGGUCCCAAAGUCAUGGUUAAGUGGGAAACGAUGUGGGAAGGCCCAGACAGCCAGGAUGUUGGCUUAGAAGCAGCCAUCAUUUAAAGAAAGCGUAAUAGCUCACUGGUCGAGUCGGCCUGCGCGGAAGAUGUAACGGGGCUAAACCAUGCACCGAAGCUGCGGCAGCGAACGUAUCACUUAAAGCGAUUCAGCGGGUUACGA